rnacentral:rRNA from 1 species
CACGUAGGGCGCAAGCGUUGUCCGGAAUUAUUGGGCGUAAAGAGCUCGUAGGCGGUCUGUUGCGUCUGCUGUGAAAACCCGGGGCUUAACCCCUGGCUUGCAGUGGAUACGGACAGACUAGAGGUAGGUAGGGGAGAAUGGAAUUCCCGGUGUAGCGGUGAAAUGCGCAGAUAUCGGGAGGAACACCUGUGGUGUAGACAGCUUACUGGACCACUUCUGACGCUGAGACACGAAAGCGUGGGUAGCAAACAGG